UCCGUUAUGGUGUAGUGGCUAACAUUAUCGCCUCUCAUGUAGUCGGUCACUGGUUCCGCGAUAGCCCAGGGUUCGAUUCCCUGUAACGGAA